AUUCUCAUGUGCUAGGAUAUCCUUUAAUUCAGUAAAAAAGAAAAGUAUUUGUAAACUGCAUUUUUCUACCUUCUUAAAGAGAGUGCCCUGCUUCCUUUCUCAGUAAUUCAAAGUCUUUUUUAUGAUAUAGCUCUAAGUGUAUUUGAGGAGGUGUUGAUAUGUUUCUUUUGCAAAAGACCAAGGAAAAGUAAAAGUAUUUGGAGGCCACUUUAAAAAAAAAUAACACAUACAUAUAUUCUGGCUGUUUUAAAAAACAGGAAAUACAGUAUUUGUAACUGUGCUUAAUAGUUUUUAAAAAUUAUUUCUCAGGUAAUUUGGGGUGGUGAUGUGGAGGAAUAGUAAGGAAGAAUGACAUUUCAGAAAAUUUGAUUUUUCUGACUUGUAGUACAAUACUGUGCUUUUCAACAAAUUUUGUUGAUCAUUAGUACAUUUAAGAUGAAGUGUUUUCUUGUCCCUUAACUGACUUGACGAACUACUCAGUUAAAAGGUAAGGAUAACUCAAGUGAUUCUGAAUAUUAUAUCCUAUAAGACUGGAUGAUUUCAUCACUAACAGCAACAUAACAGCUAGUUCAUGGAGCUGGGCGGGUUCUCUCAGUUUUCUUUAGUCCUAUCAAUAAUUGUGUAAUGUGUGUACUAUUAUUUUCCUAUUUUACAGAUCAGAGAAAAAAAUGCUUAGAGGAGUUUUUUGCUUUCCCUGUGCCACAUAGUUACUGAGUUAAGAAUUAAACUUGUAGUCACCACACUUCUACCCACUGUCUCCCAUCUAUAACAUGAAGAAAGUACCCUUCCAAGAAGUUCUUCUUGUGCUUCUUAGUCCACUUCAUAGCAACAUCCAAAGCAGUUUUUGAUCCAUGUAGAAGACAGCCUUGGGGGAGGGGUUGUGGCUCAGUGGUAGAGUGUUCAACAAGCAUGUGUGAGGC
rnacentral:lncRNA from 1 species